CAGUCGCCGCGGUAAUACGGAGGGUGCAAACGUUAUCCGGAUUCACUGGGUUUAAAGGGUGCGUAGGUGGGCAGGUAAGUCAGUGGUGAAAUCUCUGGGCUUAACCCUGGAAUUGCCUUUAAGACUGCCGAGCUAGUAGGUGAGAGAGGUGAGUGGAAUUCCGAGUGUAGAGGUGAAAUUCGUAGAUAUUCGGAAGAACACCAGUGGCGAAGGCGGCUCACUGGACGCGUAUUGACGCUGAGGUGCGAAAGCGUGGGGAGCAAACAGGAUUAGAUACCCCCGUAGUCCCUGUCUCUUAUAC
rnacentral:rRNA from 1 species